rnacentral:tRNA from 1 species
GCCGGAGUGGCGGAAUGGCAGACGCAGCGGACUCAAAAUCCGCCGCCCCCUGCGGGCGUGUGGGUUCGACUCCCAUCUCCGGCACCA